UUGUAAAUUAUGGGGGAAAAUAAGUAUUUGGUCAAUAACAAAAGUUCAGAGGUUUUGACUUAAAAUGUCAUGAUACAUGGCUCUGUUCAUUCUUCCCUUAACACGAAUCAGUCGUCCUGUCCCCUUUGCAGAAAAA